CGAAGGGUGCAAGCGUUACUCGGAAUUACUGGGCGUAAAGCGUGCGUAGGUGGUUCGUUAAGUCUGAUGUGAAAGCCCUGGGCUCAACCUGGGAAUGGCAUUGGAAACUGGCGACCUAGAGUGCGGUAGAGGGUAGUGGAAUUCCCGGUGUAGCAGUGAAAUGCGUAGAGAUCGGGAGGAACAUCUGUGGCGAAGGCGACUACCUGGACCAGCACUGACACUGAGGCACGAAAGCGUGGGGAGCAAACAGGAUUAGAUACCCUGGUAGUCCACGCCCUAAACGAUGCGAACUGGAUGUUGGGUGCAACUAGGCACUCAGUAUCGAAGCUAACGCGUUAAGUUCGCCGCCUGGGGAGUACGGUCGCAAGACUG
rnacentral:rRNA from 1 species